ACCCUGUUGAGCUUGACUCUAAUCUGGUAGUGUAAGGAGACAUAAGAGGUGUAGCAUAAGUGGGAGAUAUAUAGUUUUUUAGCUAUUUAUCAAAAAUGAAAUACCACUACUCUUAUUGUUUCCUUACUUACUCGAUGAAAUGGAACGUGUGUCAUUUACUUAGCCAUUAUACAAAUGUAUUUUAUAUAUAUUUUAUGGUAUUUUGUUGUGAUGCAAGCUUCUUGAUCAAAGUACCCAAGAGUUUGUUAUACACACCAAACAAAUUAAAAUGAAAUAAUAUUAAAUUAUAUUUUUUAUAUUAUUUUAAUAUUAAAGUAAUUAAAUUUGGUAUAACUCUUUUACACUCUGGUAUGAUCCAAUUCGAGGACAUCACCAGGUAGGGAGUUUGACUGGGGCGGUACAUCUCUCAAACAAUAACGGAGGUGUCCCAAGGCCAGCUCAGUGCGGACAGAAACCACACAUAGAGCAAAAGGGCACAUGCUGACUUGAUCUCGGUGUUCAGUACACACAGAGACGGCAAAAGCUUGGCCUAUCGAUCCUUUUGGUUUAACGAGUUUUUAACAAGAGGUGUCAGAAAAGUUACCACAGGGAUAACU
rnacentral:rRNA from 1 species